UGUGCAUAUGAAUUGAAUUCAACGUUUCACUGUGCGAAUAACUAUUUCCGUGCUGUGCGCGUGUGUCCCGACCGACUUCAUGUGGGGAACAGCAGCCAAAAAUCGGACAUUGGCACUUUAAAUUCUGCCCCGGGUCAUUCAGAGCGCACAGCCACGCGCAAUGCCGAAGAAAGAGGAAGAGAGUUGAUGGAAUCUAAAAACCAAUGUAAAGAUAAUUCUGGCUGUUGCUCCAGUGAUAAAGUGGCACUGGCGGUCUGGAAGGAGACAGAGAGAGAAACGAGGACUGACCUUCCCAGAUUGGAGAGUGUAGGCUCUGCCACGGUCCUCCACACCAUCUAGAUGACUGCUUCAUGUCACUUUUGAGCCACUGUGUGCAGCAUUACUGUAUAAGGGUGAUUGUGGGUGAUAGUGUGUGUGUGUGUAAGGUGGAAGUGUUGAGAAGAUGCUUGAAGAUGAUGGUGAUGAUUGAAAAAUGAAAAAAAAUGACCUUUUGCUUCUUUGCAUGCAACACAUUUCUGCUUGUCUGAUUCCGCACAAUAAAAAGCACUAUGAUAACAACAA